UACAAAACUGAACCGUGUUACCCAUAAUUCAAUCUGGAGAGACUCACACAGAGAAGAAAAUAGCAGUUAAAAAGAUUUAAUGGUACAAUUUCUUUGGCGCUCGGACCCGGCAGAAGACCGUGAGCCGAGGAUCGCCGUGAGCAGGCGGUCUGCUCGGCGAGCUCGGGAUAGUCUUCCCCCC